AUGCUCCUGCCGCUACCCACGGCUGCCUCGUGCCCUCCCGCAGCCCCAGCUUUUCUACCGCCCUUCGUACCGGCCUCUCAAGCCACGGAGGGGGAGAAAAGGGGACGGGACACCGGCUCUACAACUGCUGACACCCGCGUCGCCUCUGCCACCGCCCAGCCCAGCCACCGUCCAGUCCCCGCCAUGCGUCUUCACGUCCCCGCGUGCACCACCGAAGCCACCCAACGCCGGCACACGGCCCCCGCCUGUCUCCGCCCCGCUGCUAACACCGGCACAGAUCUCGUCAGUAUCCGCUACGCCAACAACUCUCCCCGGCAACGCGAAACAGCGACAGUUUUCUGCUUUCCUCUUCUACCUCACCACUUCCUCUUCAGAGCCCCAAAAAAGGCAUUUCAAAGGUUUAAAGCUGCAUUUCAGGGCACUUCUACCCACACCCCGGCACCAAAUAUCUGCGACGGGAGCGAGGCCAGCAGGAGGAUUGCAAUUUCCAGAAGUUCUAGGCCACGUCAACCCUCCCAGGAGCUUCUGAGAAACCCCAGGUCCUUCCAUUCAUCUCCCAUCUUUGCGUUCCUCGGCCCGACGCCGGCGCAACUUUGAUUCUGGAGCUCUGACACGCGUCAGAAUCGCAUCUGUCUUCAGAAGCACGCGAUCGUACGUUUUUUUAGGUCUCGUUCUCAGCUGUGUCAACAGCUAUAUGCAGCAGUGUUUCUUUACAGUGGAUAAGGACUUGUGCCAAUUCAAAGGCAGGCAGAGGCUUCCAGCCACAGGAUUCUCAGGCAUCCGUCUCUGCGGUUCUUGGAAAAAGUUGUUCCUUUAGCAUCUUUUUCCUCCAGGGUCAUCUGAUCCCGACAGGCUCGCCUGGGGUCCCUCCUCGGUCAUCACGUUCAGCAUUCUCUUGGUCCUCGUGAGGACUUUCUUGUCUCAGAGUUUUCUCUCCCUGUCACGUCCCCUCGUCUCACGUGUCACGAGUGUCUGGGGGUAUUUGGUCCGGAGCUGCUCUGCCCUGCCGCCCAGCCGGGUUGUAGGCGUUUAAGGACAAGUCCCGGGCACUUGUAAUCGGAGACUUGUAGUACGGGCUGUAGUUGGAGUCUAGGUGGUAUUCUUAUGUUGGCAGAAGGUGUUUGGAGCUGUGAGGUUACCCUGCAGCACUU
rnacentral:lncRNA from 1 species